AGUGACGAGUUUGAUGAGCUGAGAGAAGAGU
rnacentral:sRNA from 1 species